rnacentral:lncRNA from 1 species
AUGCCCCGGCGCAGGAGCAGAGCCGGCGGGCAGCUCCACCCCGACCCCGGGGGCCGGCCCGCAGGCUGCGGCGGGGGUCCGCGCGGCCGCCCCCAGCCCCUCCGCACCCCGGCAGGCAGACGCGGGCCGCCUGCCGAACAGCCCCCGGGGCUGGGCGCUCAAACUUCAGGGACGGGCGGGCCAAGUGGGCCCCCGAACUCCGCGGGAAGCCCUCCGCGCGGGGACCCCCGGGGACCCCCAAAGCCAGCGGCUCCGCCGUCGGCCGCCCCCCGGCUGCAGGGAAGCGGCGUGGCCCCGGCACCCCGAGACCCCCUCAGCGCUCGCGGCGCGCCCCUCAGCGCCUCGGCAGAGCCCCAGCCGCCGGCUCGCCCUCUUCCCAGCGCCUCGCCCGCCGCCGCCGCCGCCUUUAUCUCCACUCACCGCCAGCCGCCAUCUUCCUCGCAGCUCAGCUUUAAAUCGGAAACUCGCCGCUCACCCUGCAGCCGCCACCGCUGCCGCUGCUGCUGCUGCUGCUGCUGCUGCCGCCACCGCCGCCACCGCCUCAGCUGCGGCCGCCGCCGUCGCUGCACAGGAGCUGAGGCGGCAGCCGCUGAAGCCGCGGCGCGGGGGCCGCCGGGAUUUGUAGUCCCGCGGCCACGCCCAGCACUACCGGUCCCAGGGGGCCUUGCGCUCGCGGCCGCGGGGUCCGGCGCCGCGCUCGGGCUUCCGCGGCAGAGGGCGUGGCCUCGUGCGAGCCUCGGGGCGGCGUGGGUCGCGGGCGCGUGCGAGCCGCUGCGGGGUUCGGGGAGUGGAAUGCGGUCCGGGCCCUGCCCUUCAUUUUUUUCAUACUUGGCCUCCGAACGUCUGCGGAGCGCCCAUUGUGUGUCAAGCCCAGACCCUGAAAUCGGGCAUCUUGAGGGAACGGGGCGGCGCGGGGUGUGCGGUCGGCGGCCGGCGGCGGUGGCCCGCACGAGACGUCGGCUAAGCCGACUCCAGCCGGGAGCACGUCAUCGAAGACGGGGUUCUUAA